rnacentral:rRNA from 1 species
CCUACGGGUGGCAGCAGUGGGGAAUAUUGGGCAAUGGGCGCAAGCCUGACGCAGCAACGCCGCGUGAAGGAAGAAGGCUUUCGGGUUGUAAACUUCUUUUAAGAGGGAAGAGAAGAAGACGGUACCACUAGAAUAAGCCACGGCUAACUCCGUGCCAGCAGCCGCGGUAAUACGUAGGUGGAAAGCGUUGUCCGGAUUUACGGGGUGGAAAGGGCGUGUAGCCGGGCUUACCAGUCAGAUGUGAAAUUCGGGGGCACAACCCCGGACCUGCAUUUGAAACUGUUGGUCUUGGGUAUCGGAGAGGCAGGCGGAAUUCCUGGUGUAGCGGUUAAAUCCGUAGAUAUUAGGAGGAACACCCGUGGCGAAGGCGGCCUGCUGGACGACAACUGACGGUGAGGCGCGAAAGCGUGGGGAGCAAACAGGAUUAGAUACCCUUGUAGUC